rnacentral:rRNA from 1 species
CUGCUGCCUCCCGUAGGAGUUUGGUCCGUGUCCCAGUACCAAUGUGGGGGGUUAACCUCUCAGUCCCCCUAUGUAUCGUCGCCUUGGUGAGCCGUUACCUCACCAACUAGCUAAUACAACGCAUGCCCAUCUUUUACCACCGGAGUUUUCAACCCAAAACGAUGCCGUCUCAGAUAUUAUGGGGAAUUAGUACCAAUUUCUCAGUGUUAUGCCCCUGUAAAAGGUAGGUUGCAUACGCGUUACGCACCCGUGCGCCGGUCGCCAUCAUAAG